rnacentral:tRNA from 2 species
UGUGUGGCGGAAUUGGUAGACGCGCUGGACUCAAAAUCCAGUGGUAGCGAUAUCGUGUGGGUUCGAGUCCCACCACAG